rnacentral:rRNA from 1 species
CCUACGGGUGGCAGCAGUGGGGAAUAUUGCACAAUGGGGGGAACCCUGAUGCAGCGACGCCGCGUGAGUGAAGAAGUAUUUCGGUAUGUAAAGCUCUAUUAGCAGGGAAGAAAAUGAUGGUAACUGACUAAGAAGCCCCGGCUAACUACGGGCCAGCAGCCGCGGUAAUACGUAGGGGGCAAGCUUUAUCCGUAUUUACUGGGUGGAAAGGGAGCGUAGACGGUUAUGGAAGUCUGAAGGGAAAGCCAAAGGCUAAACCAAUGGACUGCUUUGGAAACGGUAAAACUGGAGUGAAGGAGAGGUAGGCGGAAGUCCUAGUGUAGCGGUGGAAUGCGUAGAUAUUAGGAGGAACACCAGUGGCGAAGGCGGCUUACUGGACUGUAACUGACGUUGAGGCUCGAAGGCGUGGGGAGCAAACAGGAUUAGAUACCCUUGUAGUC